rnacentral:rRNA from 1 species
UACGUAGGGUGCGAGCGUUGUCCGGAAUUAUUGGGCGUAAAGAGCUCGUAGGCGGUCUGUUGCGUCCGCUGUGAAAACUCGGGGCUUAACCCCGAGCCUGCAGUGGAUACGGGCAGACUAGAGGUAGGUAGGGGAGAAUGGAAUUCCCGGUGUAGCGGUGAAAUGCGCAGAUAUCAGGAGGAACACCGGUGGCGAAGGCGGGUCUCUGGGCAGUAACUGACGCUGAGGAGCGAAAGCGUGGGGAGCGAACAGG